rnacentral:rRNA from 1 species
AUUGAACGCUGGCGGCAGGCCUAACACAUGCAAGUCGAGCGAGCGGCGGACGGGUGAGUAAUGUCUGGGAAACUGCCCGAUGUAGGGGGAUAACUACUGGAAACGGUAGCUAAUACCGCAUACCAUCAGAUGUGCCCAGAUGGGAUUAGCUCGUAGGUGGGGUAAUGGCUCACCUUGGCGACGAUCCCUAGCUGGUCUGAGCGGAUGACCAGCCAGACGGGAACUGAGACACGGUCCGGACUCCUACGGGAGGCAGCAGUGGGGAAUAUUGCACAAUGGGCGCAAGCCUGAUGCAGCCAUGCCGCGUGUGUGAAGAAGGCCUGCGGGUUGUAAAGCACUUUCAGCGGGGAGGCGUUACCCGCAGAAGAAGCACCGGCUAACUCCGUGCCAGCAGCCGCGGUAAUAC